GGGCGAGUGCUCGGCGGCUCCUGGGCGAGCUUACAAAGCAGAUGUCGGCGGUUCGAAACCGUCCACGCCCACCA
rnacentral:tRNA from 1 species